AAAAAAAUUUCCCGAGCCGCCCUCACAGCCUCACCUCUCGACUCGUCUCCUCUCGGCGACCGCGAGGCGGAGGCGACGCGCGACAGGCGAGGCGGAGGCGAGCCGAGCCAGGGACUCCGUCCCGCGACCCUGCCGGCCGUCGAGCGUAGGUCGCCGGCCGCCGGUUCGCCGGCCGUCGCCCCGCCCCUAGGCCGACCCUGCUUCCCUGUGCGGCUGUGUUGCGCAGCUUCCCGCGAACCGCCACCGCAGCCGCUCCUCGCCGGCUCGCUCCCCGACCUCCCGGCUCCCGACGCCCGGCGCUUCCCUGCUUCCCUGUGCGGUUCCCUCCUCCUCCCUGGCUGGUGGCUGGCCCCCUCUCCCAAUUCCCAAAGGAUUUGGCCCUCUCCCACUCCGACCAGGAGGAGGACGAUGAGGAAGAGGGGGUCUCCACCUCUGCCGUCACCAGAUUCGAGCAAGGCUGCAGGGCGUUCCGCGUCGCCUUCCUUAAGAUCAUGAACAAGAAGCUCCCUGACGACCCCUUGGGUCCAAUUCUGUCAGCGCACAAGAAAUUGGUCGCCGCCAAGUUGGCCGAAGAAGCAGGGGAGCACAAGCCCAAAGGGGAGGCUAGAAAGGAGAGGCGAGUGCUAUGGCUCUCACCUCCCUUGCUCAUUGGCUGUGCACUCUCAUUGAAAUUUGCUUUGGUUUGGUGGGAAAAAAGGCAGCAGAGAAGGGCCAUGUCAUACCUAAAGACCACUUGGACAGCAAAGAGAAGGAACUCAUCAAGAUUGCUACCAAGGGGGUUGUCAGGCUGUUCAUUUUCCCCAUGAAUUUUCCGGCUGCUGAUGACUCAGUUGUCAGGCUGUUCAACGCGGUGACCAAGGCACAGAAACCUCGGAAAGACUUGAACCCAUCAAGAACUAAAGAUGCCAAAGGUAUUUUCACCUUCAUGCUAGUAUACUGCAGCCAUUGUUCCUCUGUUGUUUGUGAAUUAUUUUGUUCAUUGUUGUAUUCUACAUCUGCUAAAAAUAUUUUUUGUGUGGACCAUGUACAGAAUUAUGCUUUAGCUAACAUAUUUCUUACCUUCUUAUAGGCCUUUAGUUAUUUUGGUAUAUUAUAGACAUUCUAAUUAAUUCGUUUUGAUUUUAAUUAAUUAAUACUAAUGUCCAACAUGCUAAGUUCCUGCCCAAACACUUACUUGAGGGUGACUAUGAAGAGAGAUGGGGACAUUCUAUCUAUGUUCCAGAAACAUGCUAUUUGUAGGAUUUGCGAUCUGUGUAAUUUGUAGGAUUUGUAGUGUUUCUAUCAUGUAAACACGGCUUGAAGAGGAGCACCAGCUAAUGCAGCGGCGGACACAGCCGAAGCUCGUCGGUGAGCAAGUGCUUGAGCUUGCUCUUGCAGCAGAAGCAGCACAAGCUAGAGGUGCCAUGUUUUCUCCAUCCCCAAGCUCCCAGACUUACGAUCUCUCUGAUUCUUGCACGGCGGCAGCUGCAGCGGUAGCCGCGCAGACGAUGAUGGUGGACUACUGCAAGGAAGUCGACCGCGCAGACCGCGACGACGCGGUGUGCGUAGCGAGAGGUUAUUGGGGGUGCCCAUCGACGACCGAACUCACUAUGUUGCGGGCUUCAGGCCUGACCUCCACGGCGUCGGCAACGGAUGUGGAGGCGGCAACGGGGAGCGGCUAUAGGGCAAUUCAUGAUUGGAGCUCCAUGUCCAAUGCUGCUCCGUGUAUUCUACAUACUCAAUCGAUUUCUGUUUUUUCUUUUAUGUGUUAAUGUUCAUGCAUAUAUGAUGUUCGAUGAAAUAGCUAAAGGCAUCCAACUCGCAUUUUUUACCUCACUUUGAUUGGAUUCCAUUUUCCCAUCAAUCUUUGGCUAGAUUUUCUUGCAAAUUAUAUAUAUUGCUACAAUAGAUGCUCUGUAAUUUACACAAUGUUCAAAUAUUUCUGGCUCCAAAACAACCAAAUAAUUGUACUUUGAAACUUUCUAAUGUCGGAGUUCAUUUGACAGGAAGAAUUGCUAAUUGUGUGCCAAAGUAAUUUGAGCCUCACCAAUUAUUUCUGCAGAUAGCCAUUAUAAGGAAAACAUCUACUGCUGCUACAAUGAUGAUGAACAUCAGAAAGCAAGGAAAGAUUUCUACAGAACAAAACAUGACCCUCUAUUCAAAUUAUUACUCCCCAAUUACAGAACAUCAUCAGUUUCAGAUUCCUGUUAUUUUCUUUGCCUUAUGUUGCAUAUAGCAUAUUGUUUGAUGAUCAUGAACCAGCUACGUUGAGCAUAUAUAUAACGCGUGGCUAAUUUUUCAUUUUAUAUUGACCAUAUAAUGCAUGGUUCAUUUUACAUUGAUCAUGAACUGCCAUUUGUGAUCUAACCCCUGAUAUAUAACUGUUUUUUUCAUUUGCUUUGGUAAAUAAUUACUACCUUGGUUAAAGCAUAAUUUUAAAAACUACUAUCACUCUGUUCUGCUGGCUGCGGCUGGUGCCUGGUGCUGGUUUGUUGUGAGAGAAAAUUACUGCUGGCUGACUGGUGGCUGGUGCUGGUUUGGUGUGAGAGAAAAAUAUUGUUGGUUGGCUGGAGAAGCAGCCAGCAGAACAGAGUGUAUGCAAGCUUUCAAUCAUCUGUAUACGCUAUUUAUUUUAUGUUGAUUACUAUGCUCAAAUUUAUGGUUGAUCCCCUGCAACAAGCAGAUGUUAUUCUGAAGGCACCACUGCUAGGAAAUGGCUGAGGGAACGAGAUUUUUCGAUUUUGUUGUUCUGAAUAGCGGCAAGCUGUGAAAUACGCUGGUUCACUCAACCAAUAUAUUAAAUGUUACUUGAGAAAUCUGCCUGAUACAAUGCUUCUCCUAAAAAAGUAUUUUUGAUGCGUAUCUUCGUCUUUUACUUGUUAAAUACCAUUUCCAUUGCUUAAACGGAUCGUUACCACAUCAACUAUGAUGAAGCAAGGGCGCAAAACAACCAAAAUACACUGGUCUGGUCAUCUCAGUUCUCAGACAAGACAACCAUCU